rnacentral:lncRNA from 10 species
UUCCAAAGUGCUGGGAUUACAGGCCUGUGCCACCGCGCCUGGCCCACUUCAACCAUUUUUAAAUAGCUUCUAUCAGUAGUUGAUCAAGUGACAGAAAUCCAAAUUGAACUAGCUAUAGUAGAUUGCAAACUAUCAAAAUUCUUUUCCUCCCUUCCCAAGGUGUAGUCUAUUUCUCCAACCUUUGCACCUGGAUUGACCAUGUGGCUGGCUUUGGCCAAUGGGACACUAAAAAAUGUGAUGCAAUCAGAAGCUUGAAAAGUGCUUGCACAUUGAGGCUUGCCCUCUCUAGCAGCAAACAGAAUCCUGCAAUUGCCGCGGGGAGAAGGCGAACUGGCCUACUGAAAACAAGAAAUAACGUGGCUCCCCCACCUCCACAGCACCCCAGCCAAUAGACAACCACCUGUCGGCCCAUAAGUGAGGUCAUCCUCUGGACAACCCAGCUGCCAGCUGACCACAAAUGCAUGAGUUAGCGCAGGUGAGAUCAACUAAGGCAGCCCAGCGCAGAGUCCUCUAGCUGACCCACAUUAUCAGGAGAUAAUAAAUGCUGGUUUUACGCCACUGUCGUAAAGGAGGGAGUGACGCAGUAAAAGCUACCUACUUAGCUGCUUUUUUUUUUUAAAAGCUUAAAACAAAGAAAAUUUGUUGCACGACCCUGUGUGUUCUGAGACUGAGCUAAGUAGAAGAAAGAUUGGAUGUACUUGGGCCUCAGGAACAACCAGAACUAAGUAUAUGGAUGUCAGCACAAAAUAAAAGAUGAAGAUAUUUUAAAGGCUCAUAUCUGGACCUACAGACUCUGAACCUAAGACCUCUUCAGGACCUUGCAGUAACAUUGGCUGCCUCCUCAGCUGUGCUUUUUCCUGUUGUCCUCUUUAGUAGGAAGCAAUGGGAAGAAGCACGGGGAGCCUUGGUUUUCCAGAGAGCGGUGACCAGGUCUCUAUUGAGACUGAGGUCAAUAAAUAGGAGACUAAAGAUCUCCAGAUGGAAUUCACCCUGGAAUCUGGGGUAACUGGAAAUGAGAUUAAGAUCUGAGGGGUCUGAGGAGUCUGCAUAAAAAUAAACAACGCCAGAAAGAAGUGAUCCAGUCUUUCAACUGCAAGAGUGAACAGGCUCACAAGAUCUUUCAAGCAACCCACACAGCUGAGUGCAUUUACCCUACCUAUUACUUCAUGUUACCUUUAGCAAGGGCAGGCACCAUAUUUAAUACUGCUUUUACAACCUAUACAGAGCAGUGGUUCUUACAACUUUUUUCCAUCUUCUCCAGUUACAUCUUCUCCCAUUACUUAGAACAAAUGCCCUAUUUCACUGUUUUCUACUUUUUAAUGGAUUAGGGGUACAAACUCAGUGAUAGCAAAUAAAUGUCGAUGUGAAAGCAAAAUUUGGGAAAUUUUACUUUAGCAAUUAUCUGAUUAAGCAAUAAUUAUUUAAAAAUUAUUUUAAAAUUAUGGGCACUAUCCAUACAGUAAGGCUAUUACAAUGAUGAAAUGUGAUGAAAAUGACAGGAUUUUUUUUGUUUUGUUUUUGUUUUUUUUGAGACAGGGUCUUGUUCUGCUGUCCAGGCUGGAGUACAGUGGCACAAUAAUGGCUCACUGCAGCCUUGAUCUCCUGGGCUCAAGUGAUCCUCCUGCCUCAGCCUCCCAAGUAUCCAAGACUACAGGAACCAAAGAAAGAUCUUGCAUUUUCUAAUGAAUUCUGAGCCCACAGUACAACUCAUCUUUGGAAAUCACUGCUCCAGAAUCCAAAGCAUGGUGCUCAGGAACUCCAGGUACAACGUUGAAUAAAGGUGGUGAGAAUAGACAUCCUUGCCUUGUUCCCAAUGUUGGUCAGAAAUAUCUUCUACAGCAACUAAAUUCUACAUUAUCCCACAGAAGAGAGCAGAAGUUCAAAAAGAAAAACAAGUCCACUGCUUAUUUUCUUAAGUCAACACCUGGUUCUGACUUAGCAUCCUGAGCCUCCAUUCUAUUUAGAAAAGAGAGGAUUAAGCCCAGGCCUAUGAAGCAUGCAUAUAAUUUUUUUUUUUUUUUUUGAGACAGGCUAGAGUAUAGUGGCAAACUCACGGCUCACUGCAGCCUCAACCUCCCAGGCUCAAGUGAUCCUCCCAUCUCAGCUGCCCAAGUAGCUGGGACUAUAGGUGUGCACCACCAUACCUGGCUAAUUUUUUUAUUUUUCAUAGAGACGGGGUUUCACCAUAUUGCCCAAGCUGGUCUCAAACUCCUGGGCUCAAGUGAUCCACCCACCUGGGCCUCCCAAAGUGUUGGGAUUACAGGUGUGAGCCACCACACCUGGCCUAUAUGAUUUUUAAUUGCAUAGCACAAAGUGUGUAUAACUUUUUGAAAAAUGCUACCUCUAUUAUAAACCCUGUUUUCUGUUUAGUUCUGUUUAGUGAAA